rnacentral:lncRNA from 1 species
AAAAAAAAGUUGCCUCUAUUUAGAGGAGCUUUGUUUAUGUUUCUCAAAAUUAUUUAGCCUUUGCUUAGAGGAGCUUUGAUCAAAAUUUAAAAAAAAAAAAAGAAGCAAGAAAAAAUGGGCAAAAAAAAAAUCCGGUUGAGUCAUAAAGGGGUGUCUACGUCUUUGCACAAUUUUUGUUUCCCAAAAAAUGUGCAAAGAGGGGCAGCUGUAGACACCCCAUUUUGUCCGGGAUUCUUUGUCAUUUGAGACUAAUCCAAGCUCAGUUGCAGGGAUUUUUAUUCAUUUUUAUUUUAUAUUUUUGUUUAUUUCAUAUUUAUCAUUUUUUUUAUUUUAUGAUUUAUUUUUUUUUCUUUCUUUUGAUUAUCUGAUUAU